UUAGGACCCGCCAUAGAACAGCUUUUUGGUCGCUCAUGCAACAUCUUGGUAUUGUAUAGUCUUUGAUUGGAUGUAUUUAAAGUUACAGGGCUCAGAUGUGUCUAAGCAUGGUAUAAUACAUGAUUUGGGUCGCGCAAAGGAAAUCCUGUCUAGAAGCAAGGAAUUAAAUACCUCACUCGAAGCUCCUCGCUUAGAUAUGCCAGCUACCAAGCGAUUUAUUGCUGCUGGAAUGCAUACACGUUUUGUGGACAUGGGGGGCGUUAUGGUCACUGAAGAACAACGUCUUUUGGACGUUAGGAAUAGUAAAAUAGACAAAUAAUUGUUUAUACAAAAUAAAUGGCUGCACAAAUGGAA
rnacentral:sRNA from 1 species